UCAAUAGCGUAUAUUAAAGUUGUUGCAGUUAAAAAGCUCGUAGUUGAAUUUCGAGAUCAAAUUGUUGGUCGUGCCUCGGUACGUACUGGCAUUAUUGAUUUCUCCCUUCUGAAGAACCACGAUGUCAUUAAUUUGGUGUCGUGGGGAAUCAGGACCGUUACUUUGAAAAAAUUAGAGUGUUUAAAGCAGGCUCACGCUUGAAUACAUUAGCAUGGAAUAAUGAAAUAGGACGUUUGAUUCUAUUUUGUUGGUUUCUAGGAUCGACGUAAUGAUUAAUAGGGAUAGUUGGGGGCAUUAGUAUUCAAUUGUCAGAGGUGAAAUUCUUGGAUUUAUUGAAGACUAACUACUGCGAAAGCAUUUGCCAAGGAUGUUUUCAUUAAUCAAGAACGAAAGUUAGGGGAUCGAAGACGAUCAGAUACCGUCGUAGUCUUAACCAUAAACUAUGCCGACUAGGGAUCGGAUGAUGUUAAUUUUUUAAUGACUCAUUCGGCGCCUUACG
rnacentral:rRNA from 1 species